GAUGAACGCUGGCGGCGUGCCUAAUACAUGCAAGUCGAGCGAACAGAUAAGGAGCUUGCUCCUUUGACGUUAGCGGCGGACGGGUGAGUAACACGUGGAUAACCUACCUAUAAGACUGGGAUAACUUCGGGAAACCGGAGCUAAUACCGGAUAACAUAUUGAACCGCAUGGUUCAAUAGUGAAAGGCAGCUUUGCUGUCACUUAUAGAUGGAUCCGCGCCGUAUUAGCUAGUUGGUAAGGUAACGGCUUACCAAGGCAACGAUACGUAGCCGACCUGAGAGGGUGAUCGGCCACACUGGAACUGAGACACGGUCCAGACUCCUACGGGAGGCAGCAGUAGGGAAUCUUCCGCAAUGGGCGAAAGCCUGACGGAGCAACGCCGCGUGAGUGAUGAAGGUCUUCGGAUCGUAAAACUCUGUUAUCAGGGAAGAACAAAUGUGUAAGUAACUGUGCACAUCUUGACGGUACCUGAUCAGAAAGCCACGGCUAACUACGUG
rnacentral:rRNA from 1 species